rnacentral:rRNA from 1 species
CGCGUAGGCGGGUGACCAAGUCCGGGGUGAAAUCUUUCGGCUCAACCGGAAAACUGCCUUGGAUACUGGUCAUCUCGAGGGAGGUAGGGGUCUGUGGAACUGAUGGUGGAGCGGUGAAACGCGUUGAUAUCAUCAGGAACGCCGGUGGCGAAAGCGACGGACUGGACCUUCACUGACGCUGAGGCGCGAAAGCCAGGGGAGCAAACGGGAUUAGAUACCCCGGUAGUCCCGGCCCUAAACGAUGGGUACUAGGUUGUGGACUAGACAUGGGUUCACAGCCGAAGCAAAAGUGCUAAGUACCCCGCCUGGGGAGUAUGGUCGCAAGGCUGAA